CCCCGCCAGGUCCGGAAGGAAGCAACGGUAGCGGUGCGGUUCGUGUGCCGCGGAUUACCCGGGGCCU
rnacentral:SRP_RNA from 1 species